rnacentral:sRNA from 1 species
GGUGUCAAUUUCCGGUCGACAGAUCUCAGAGAGAACCUCAGCGGCCCAGUUUUUCCUUUUUGCCUUGUGUGAAAGGGAAUUUAACACUCUGCCUUGAGCUCCCUCCCCGUUUCGACGGGCUGGUGAAUUCGGUAAGGUGGCUGGGCUCCUUCUGAGGGCGUCAUAUUCCACCUCCCUUUACCGAUCUUGGUCCCUUUUCCAAUUACCUGGGGAAGGGAUUGUGGCCGUCGGCUGAUGAGGUUAGGGAAAAACCAUGACCUGCCAACAUAUAAUUGUUUGAUUCGACUGUUUAAUUCUGGCUAGCUCAUCUCGUUUGGGAGGAGGAUGUAAAGAAAGAGAGAUUGGCCCCAAAAAUGCCAUCAGUUAUGAUAUUCCACGGAGCUUGAAGCGUAUUGAAUAGAGCCUGCAAUCGGCCCCUCCAGACCAUUCUCUAUUUUUUUUCAAUUCUGUCUAUAACUGCAACGGUAUCCCAUGUGCGAGGUGUGUUGUAAACAACCAAUGAAUGAAACCCAUAACUGUCAUCAAAUAACACGAAUGUGAAAACUCCUGUACACCACAGACCGACCCACGCCAUAUUUCUAUCUAAACAAAGCAGAGCGCUCACUCACGGAAAACCGGAGAAAAAUAAAGUGA